rnacentral:rRNA from 1 species
UGGGGAAUAUUGCACAAUGGGGGAAACCCUGAUGCAGCCAUGCCGCGUGUGUGAAGAAGGCCUUCGGGUUGUAAAGCACUUUCAGCGAGGAGGAAAGGUUGAUGCCUAAUACGUAUCAACUGUGACGUUACUCGCAGAAGAAGCACCGGCUAACUCCGUGCCAGCAGCCGCGGUAAUACGGAGGGUGCAAGCGUUAAUCGGAAUUACUGGGCGUAAAGCGCACGCAGGCGGUUGGAUAAGUUAGAUGUGAAAGCCCCGGGCUCAACCUGGGAAUUGCAUUUAAAACUGUCCAGCUAGAGUCUUGUAGAGGGGGGUAGAAUUCCAGGUGUAGCGGUGAAAUGCGUAGAGAUCUGGAGGAAUACCGGUGGCGAAGGCGGCCCCUGGACAAAGACUGACGCUCAGGUGCGAAAGCGUGGGGAGCAAACA